GCCAGGGCCCUUCCCGGCCCGGCCCCAGCCCCAGGGGGGCCCCGCUCGGAGGGAAGGCUGAGGAAUCACGUCCACAUUUUGCUCCAGAUCGUCCUGUCUUCCAGGGGACAGGGAAGAGAACUGGCUGUGAUGGAGCUAGCUCAGGUCCAUUGGCGGUGGCGGGGAGAAACAUUCCCCCAUUUCUGAAACAGGAAACACACACCCCUGGGCAGGGCUGGGAAAACUGACCAGACUUCCAGUGCUGGAGCCUGAACCCACUGGCCAGAGGCUGCUGUGAAAUACGAAGGGAUGCUGUUGGGAUUCCUGUCCCUGUCCCUGUCCCCUGCUCAGCUCUGCUUCCCAUAUCAGCCUGUGGCAGGUGUGUGGGAAAUGAGAAGACACUACCCUGCUCUGUGUGCUGGGGGCGGGACAAGGAGCUCUCACCUUCUCCCCACCCCCUGAAGCCUCCUGACUGCUCUGAGCAGGAUGGGGGUGGGAUUCUGCUACUCUGUCACCCCCAGAGCUUCCAUUUGUUUAUCGUUUCUCCUGUGUGAUUAGUGGGAUUGUGGCUGGGGCAGCAGGCACUGAA